rnacentral:lncRNA from 1 species
ACCAUAUGGAAAAACAAGAACUAACACAUAUGUGCGAACAAGAAAAUCUAUAAAAACUUCUCAAAAAGUCUUUAGAGUAAAUUACUCACAAAAACUUUUCAAUAAGUCUCAAGAGUAUACUUCAGUUGUUUGGACAUCAUCAGCAACAUUAUCUCAUCCAACCCUUCAUCAAAAUCUUAAUCAACAAAACUACUACCAUUACCAUCAAACACAUCCACAUUGUCGUCAAGCCCAACUUCUUUAUGGCAUUGACUUGAUAAACAAAGUCAUACAAUACAAUACACAUCUUAGAUAACUCGAUCAAGUUCCACACUUGUCUAUCAUUCGUGACAUGCAUAUGAGCAGUAUCCAGAGGUAUUUCCUGUAACAUUAGGUCUCGUAAGGAAUAAAUUAACUCCACCAUCUCAAUUUUUUGUCCACAUCAUAAUCUUUUUGUGCCAUUUCAAGAAACUCACGAUAUGUACAACCAUCAUAUAGAAAGCAAAUUUUCCCUCCUUUCCGAUCAUCAACCACAAACUCCCACAAAGAGUUUUUCACCACCCACUCUCCGUAUACAACAGAUAAUUGUACCAUUCCCAGC